UUCCUGAUAAUUAUCUUUUUUUUUUUCAUUUUCUGCAGUGCAAGUUAUUCAAGUCAUAAACUGACCAAUCAGAUUCCUCAAAAGAAAAAAGGUUUGCGAUCUAGCGUCAAACGUUUAACGGAUUUCAUGUAGAACGCUUUCAAGUGGUAGAGGUGUCAACAACCCCAUUAAUGAUUGGCGAGACGGGUUGCCAUAGAAAUGUUGACAAAGACUGACUCUGACCAAUCAGUGGUUAGUGAGGAUUUCCGGUUCCAAUAUGGCAGAAUUCGUGUCGCACAAAAAUGGAGACCGGAUUGACUUGAUUUUGUUGGAACCGGAUGCAGGUCAUUUUCAAAGUGUGACUCUGUCCACUAUGUUUAGUCAUAUGUUCCCAAAUCUAAAAAAAAACAGUAAGUACUAAAGGCUGCAGUUCCUCAAAAGACCACUAGAGGCUGGUGUCAAAAAUAAGUCAUUUCCCAUUGACUCAUAUGUGAAAAAGUCUGAUUUUGAUGUCAAACACUUUUAUUCAUUUUGUUUUGUCAUUUUUUUAAAAAUCAAUAGUUCUGAUUAUAUCAGAGGUUAAAUUCAGAGCCUGUUUUUCUUAAGGGUAUAUGAAAGUUCAGUCCAAUUAUUAUUUUGGUAACGUUGUUGGAGAAAAGGUGGAUCAAACUCUGGGCCAUGUGCACCUCCCAUAUCAUUUUUGUGUAUAAACCUGUGGAGCAUCCAUCCUGACAGAGGCGGAGCUAAAAAAUACAUAUUUCAAACAUCCUAUUAUUGAUAUUAAUAUAAAACAGUAAGGUUUUUUUUUUGUUUUUUUGUUAGGUGAGGUGCUAUUACUACUGCUUAAAUAAGCUUUUAUUAACAAUUUAUCUUUAAUCUUUGUCAAUAUUAAUACUAAUAUUGAUUCAGAAAUUGGGGGGGGGGCAAGCUGCCCUCUCUUGCUCCCCUGUAGCUCCGCCCCUGCAUCCUUAGUGCAUAUUGCUGUGGUCAAAAUCCUUUGGGAAAUAAUUUGAAAUUAAAGCAAUUUGUCUCUUAAAACAGUGAAAUAAUGGAAGUCAGAAGGCUGCCAUUUGGCUAAUACUCGUAGAAAUUGAGGCUUAAUGAGUCUAUUUGUUGUAUUUGUAGGUUGAGUGUUGACAUACAUACGCAGGCCAACCUGUAACUUUGCAGACUGCAACCCCCUCCGUGGUGGCUUUUAAACAGACAGGUGAAGAUCCGGUAACCGCUCUAGGCCUCUUUUUGUCCAGGAAUAUUGCCAUGUGCAUUCAGAGUCACUGAUAACAGUCAAUGGACUUUGGAAUUUGGGGUCAAGAGUAGCAGAGAGAAGGAUGACAGUCCUGCAGAGGACAAAGGGGUAGGAAAUAGGAGGAGUGCAAAAGCAGGCUGGACCUCCUCUCUGAGUGGUUUUUGUCGAGUUUCCAGCUUUCCGAGAGAAAGUGUUUACAGUCGAUGUGUUUUUGUUCCAGCAGGAGAACAGGAGGAAGUUCAUGUUGGUUUACUCUGACAUCUAGUGGACACACAUAGAAACUACGUUUUAAUAACAAAUGAACCGCAGUAACCUCUGAUAGACAGAGGUUAGCCGCUAAUUAAAACAUUGAUGUGAGAUUUAUUUUAUUUUUUCGUGUGUGUGUUAAAAAAGCCCUCAUACUUUUGCCUGCGAGUGAUUUUCAGAGUCCUGCAUUCUUGUUCAUGUUAGGUCAUGGGGUUUUGUUGAGACCUGCUUUAACAUGUUAUUUGAUAUCACACCAUGACUGCAGAUUUCCAAGUUUCAGAGCACAGAAACAUCUCUGUCUUUUAGGUUUCUAAAAAUGUUCUCAUGAGGUAAAAAUAUCCUGGUGACACGUUCCGAAAUGAAUGUUUGAUGAGCUGCAUUUCACAAAACAAGGAAGUCGAGCUUCUGAUUGAGGAAGCAGAUAAAACACCUCUGAAAUAUUCUUACAUAUUCACUGUACCAUGUGAAUCAGAGGAUCUGCGUUUGUGCUCUGUGUUUCUACUGGAAGAAUCUUCUGUCUUUUUAAGGGAGUCUGUGACACGUCAAACGGCAGGAAAAGGUCCCUCUGUAGACUGAGAGGGCAGAGCUUCCCCCUUCGUGCGCAAGAAUCUGAAAACCAGCUCGAGAGCAGGCGCCAGCAGGCUUCGGCUCGUGCUGCUAAACCGCAUCUGUGGGAUGCUUGAGGACCAGUUUGCGUUUGUGAAACUGCUGCAGCAUGUGGUCAUCUCUGGAUCUGAGCUCUCCUUUUUUCGACUGAGAGUGAAGGAAGUUGCAAAGAAAUGAAUGAAAAGGAGAU